AACGAACGCUGGCGGCAGGCCUAACACAUGCAAGUCGAACGCACCGCAAGGUGAGUGGCGCACGGGUGAGUAACACGUGGGAAUGUACCCUUUGGUUCGGAAUAACGUUUGGAAACGAACGCUAAUACCGGAUGAGCCCUGUGGGGGAAAGAUUUAUCGCCAAAGGAGCAGCCCGCGUCUGAUUAGCUAGUUGGUGGGGUAAAGGCCUACCAAGGCGACGAUCGAGUAGCUGGUCUGAGAGGAUGAUCAGCCACACUGGGACUGAGACACGGCCCAGACUCCUACGGGAGGCAGCAGUGGGGAAUAUUGGACAAUGGCGGAAGCCUGAUCCAGCCAUGCCGCGUGAGUGAUGAAGGCCUUCGGUUGUAAAGGACUCUUUCGUCACGCGACGAUGAUGACGGUAGCGUGAGAAGAAGCCCCGGCUAACUUCGUGCCAGCAGCCGC
rnacentral:rRNA from 1 species